rnacentral:snRNA from 1 species
AGCCUGGCGCAGUGGCAGUAUCAUAGCCAAUGAGGUUUAUCUGAGGUGCAAUUAUUGCUAAUUAAAGCUGUAGGAGACAUCUUAGUGAAAGAAUGUGAACGAGAAUAAUCUG